GUGCAGUAGCUAGUUCUUCAGCUGGUCCUACUCCUAGAGAAGGAUAAGCUCAAUGUGCCUACAACAAGAGAAAGACCUUCCUAGGUGUUGAGAAAGCUUGUGAAUGAUGUAUCAAAGUUUUUGAAUGACAAAAUCACCAAAGCUGUGGUAACAGUGCCAUUAUACUUCAAUGAUUCCCAAAGUUGUGGUAAAGAAACUUGUUAAUGUACUAUCAUCUCUAGCAGAGGUAUGGAAGCCAUCAGACUCAGAGGACAUCUAUGGCAUCCAGAUGAAGUAUCAAGGCACUAGCAUCAAUGCCAAGAGAAGAAGAAUGGUGCACGGUUUCAUUAGUUUCAAAAUUCCAAGUUUCUUUAGAAAUUCUAGUCUUAGUGAGAAUUCUAUUCCUAGUAUAGUGUGGAAUUCUGUUUGAGUUUUGCUUUCAGUUUCUUUCCCCUUCAAACUAUUUUUACCUGUCUUCGUCCAAGGCUCCAAGCUGUAUAAGGUCUCUAUAGAUACAAUCUUGUUUUGAAUUGGUUUUCUUUAUCUCA